rnacentral:rRNA from 1 species
AGGGAAUUUUCCACAAUGGGCGAAAGCCUGAUGGAGCAACGCCGCGUGAACGAUGAAGGUCUUCGGAUUGUAAAGUUCUGUUGUCAGGGACGAAACCGUACCGUUCGAACAGGGCGGUGCCUUGACGGUACCUGACGAGAAAGCCACGGCUAACUACGUGCCAGCAGCCGCGGUAAUACGUAGGUGGCAAGCGUUGUCCGGAAUUAUUGGGCGUAAAGCGCGCGCAGGCGGCUAGGUAAGUCUGAUGUGAAAGCCCGGGGCUCAACCCCGGUGUGCAUUGGAAACUGCUUGGCUUGAGUGCAGAAGAGGAAAGCGGUAUUCCACGUGUAGCGGUGAAAUGCGUAGAGAUGUGGAGGAACACCAGUGGCGAAGGCGGCUUUCUGGUCUGUAACUGACGCUGAGGCGCGAAAGCGUGGGGAGCAAAC